rnacentral:rRNA from 1 species
CUACGGGCCGCAGCAGGCGAGAAAACUUUGCAAUGUGCGAAAGCACGACAAGGUUAAUCCGAGUGGUUUGUGCUAAACGAACCUUUUGACAGUCCUAGAAACACUGUUGAAUAAGGGGUGGGCAAGUUCUGGUGUCAGCCACCGCGGUAAAACCAGCACCUCAAGUGGUCAGGAUGAUUAUUGGGCCUAAAGCAUCCGUAGCCGGCUCUGUAAGUUUUCGGUUAAAUCUGUACGCUCAACGUACAGGCUGCCGGGAAUACUGCAGAGCUAGGGAGUGGGAGAGGUAGACGGUACUCGGUAGGAAGGGGUAAAAUCCUUUGAUCUAUUGAUGACCACCUGAGGCGAAGGCGGUCUACCAGAACACGUCCGACGGUGAGGGAUGAAAGCUGGGGGAGCAAACCGGAUUAGAUACCCCCGUAGUC